AUUGAACGCUGGCGGCAGGCCUAACACAUGCAAGUCGAACGCGUGGCGGGCGGGUGAGUAAUGUCCGGGAAACUGCCUGACGGAGGGGGAUAACUACUGGAAACGGUAGCUAAUACCGCAUACCAUCAGAUGUGCCCAGAUGGGAUUAGCUUGUUGGUGGGGUAACGGAUCACCAAGGCGACGAUCCCUAGCUGGUCUGAGAGGAUGACCAGCCACACCGGAACUGAGACACGGUCCAGACUCCUACGGGAGGCAGCAGUGGAGAAUAUUGCACAAGGGGCGGAGGCCUGAUGCAGCCAUGCCGCGUGUAUGAAGAAGGCCUUCGGGUUGUAAAGGACUUUCAGCGGGGAGGCGUUAUCCGCAGAAGAAGCACCGGCUAACUCCGUGCCAGCCGCCGCGGUAAUUC
rnacentral:rRNA from 1 species